AGCUGUUGAUGACUCGCUUAAACAUUUUUCUGACACCUACUAUGAGGGCUGCGCUGCAGUCUUUGAUUAUACGUUUGAACCUGAGGCUU